CAAAACGACUGUGUUUUAUUCUUUUACACAGAAAGAACGUUGGCGACGCAAAAAUGAAAAGAGAAAAUCAAUUCUAUAUCGAUUUGGAUAAGAAAAAAAAUCCAAAUCUUCAAAUUUCUGUGUGACUAUGGAAUAAGUUUCAAUUUUGGAAUAUUAUAUAGUCUUUUUCGUUUUCGAUUUACUGGGUUGCUUUGUUUCUUCAUGUUGUUCCACACGUGUCCUUUGAAUUCUUAAUUUCAGAUUCUUUUGAUUUUGGUUUGAAUUCUCUAAUGAAGCCAAAUUCUUAAUUUUAGAAGAAGUGCCAUUACUCCAGAAGAAGUUUCACAGCCAAUUGUUCAUAACCAAACUAAUAUGGAAGAGGUACCGUCAAUUAUAUCUUCUAUAAUCAAAUCUGCUCUUGCCUUAUUUUUGUAACCAAUUAUGCUCUCGUCUUUUUGUUUUUAGGAAUUCCAUUGAUAAAAAUUCUGGUAUUUGCGAAGUUAGGAGGCUGGUUUUUGUGAAGUUUGGAAGCUCGUUGUUGAAGUUAGUAAGGACCGAUGAGGAUGAAGUUAAGAAGCUGGUUUUUGUCAUAUAAAGAGUCUUCUGUUUUUUUCUUUUUGGGAAAUGAUUUUUCUAAGAAUCGUUGACAUGAAUUUAUCUCUCUAAAAGACGUGUGAAUAAGCUUUUGUUAUCUAAUGUUGUUUGCCAUAAAACAGAAAAUCUGACAAUCAAAAUUUAACUUAGAUAUCGAUUAAACCCAAAACCUAAAAAUAUAAAAUCUCC
rnacentral:lncRNA from 1 species